GGGGUCCCUGCUGGGGAGGGGAGCCCUAGAGAGUUCUCCGCAGGCCCGGGCUGGAACCACCGAGCCCUCCGCGGGGGCCUGCCUGCGCCUGUCCUUUUCAGGGCUGUCACUCCGGGCCUCUCGCUCACUCCUCCCCUGAUCCGGGAUGCGGAAAGGGCCAGGCGUCAGGGAGGCGGAGGGGACUGUCCGAAGCCGCGCAGCCGGCGGCGGCGGCGGAAAGUGCUCUUUCCGCCGCCCCGUGCAACCUCUCCUUCUCCUUGUGCUAGACGCAGCCCCUGCCCGAAGAAGGGUUGGUCUGGGAGCACUGACGCUGAUCCCGGGGCGCUCAGCCUCACCGAAUGGAGGAAAAUGGCUUCAUGGACUCCGAGUCCUGAUCAAACAUAUAGGAACUGUGGAUUUUCCAGUAGAACUUUUCCAGAUACGUAUAGACAGUGAAGGAAAGAAGGAAAAAAACAAGGUGAUCUGGGGUUGGCAUAUCAUCUCAGGCUGACUGCCC
rnacentral:lncRNA from 1 species